rnacentral:rRNA from 1 species
UACGUAGGGAGCAAGCGUUGUCCGGAAUCAUUGGGCGUAAAGAGCGUGUAGGCGGCUCGAUAAGUCUGCUGUGAAAGUCCAGGGCUCAACCCUGGAAGGCCGGUGGAAACUGUCGGGCUAGAGUCCGGAAGAGGCGAGUGGAAUUCCCGGUGUAGCGGUGAAAUGCGCAGAUAUCGGGAGGAACACCAAUGGCGAAGGCAGCUCGCUGGGACGGUACUGACGCUGAGACGCGAAAGCGUGGGGAGCAAACAGG